UUUUUCAUCUUUUCACUUUAAAAAAAAUUACAUUAAGGCCCCCUACCCUCUUUCCUUCUUCCUCCCCACGACACUACCCCUCCUCCUCCUCCCUACGCCCAUUUCCGCCGCCUGCCAUCUCCUCCAGUCACCGCAGACUUUUUCUUCCCCUCCUGUCGCCUUCUCCCUCUUCCUUUUUUGCUGUCACCGUCGAGCUUGAAGGAGGAAAGCUCGCUUCCUUGCUGUCGCUGCCGAAACAACCACCUGCUGCCGUAUUUCUGCCGAUUUGACGCUGGAUUUGAGUUCUACACCCUUCAAAACCUGUAGGCAGCUCCUCCUCACUGUUGAUCAGCCAUUUUCCAGCUCCUUCGAGCCUCACCAAAGCUGAAACUUUCCGGCCUCAAUUCGGUGGCUUCCAGUGAGUUUUAGGCCAAGAAAUCUAUAUUUUUUAACUCCCCGCAACUCAAGCUUUGCGGAAGCAUUUCCAUAUUUGAAAUCUGACACCGUUAGCGGUAACGACUUUCGGAUCCCGGUGUUUCCGGUGUUUUCUAAAGAUAACCCGUCAAUCCAGCCAACACACCCGAUGCGUAGGAGCAGACAGCUAAACUCGGCAGAACUGUGACAACUAAGUUCUUCGCUGACUUUCUCUUGGCAGCCUGACUUAUUUCCCUUUCGGGCUUAUUGUAAUUAAACUCUACCUUUUGUAUUUCGAAUUAUUUGAAAUUCUAGACUCUUUACAGUAGUGGAUUUGAAACUUUACAUCUUAUUUUGAUCGGUUAAAAGCUAUGGAAAAAUUAUUAAGUACUCAAGCUGAUGGAUUAAUUUAA